rnacentral:rRNA from 1 species
CCCUUAGAUGUCCUGGGCCGCACGCGCGUUACACUGAUGCAUUCAACGAGCAUAUAACCUUGGCCGAGAGGCCUGGGUAAUCUUGUUAACAUGCAUCGUGAUAGGGAUAGAUUAUUGCAAUUAUUAAUCUUGAACGAGGAAUUCCUAGUAAUCGCAGUUCAUCAAACUGCAAUGAUUACGUCCCUGCCCUUUGUACACACCGCCCGUCGCACCUACCGAUUGAAUGGUCCGGUGAGGACUCGGGCUUGUGGUUUAGCUCCUUCAUUGGGGCCUGACUGCGAGAACUUGUCCGAACCUUAUCAUUUAGAGGAAGGUGAAGUCGUAACA